UUUCCAAUUCAUAGAUCCUACGCCAUCCCAAAUUCCUAUCCCCAUAUUCCACUACCAAAUUGAAAUUCAAUGCAAGAAACGUUCCCACUUCCAAUUCAAUCCCGUCUCCAGGCUCGACGACCGCCAAUUCGAGAAGCGAAACCCAACCAUUUAAUCCUCUCUUGUCGUCGCUGUUGACCGUUCGACUCCCUCCGUCGGCUAUCCUACCACCACAAACGGCUGAAGACAGCAAUACACUUGGAAUUUUGAGAUGUAUACGUAGUGCUACCUACUCGCGCUGCCUCGCCAUUCUAUUGUAUUGCUACUUUCUUCCAGUCCUCCAUUGUCAUUGGCCAGAGCAUUAAGGUUAGUAUAGCGUUCUGAUUUUAAUUCCCGUUUGGUGGCUCCAAUCAAUUUAUGAUUUUAGCGAAUUUGUGAUUUGUGAAUAUGUGAUUUGUAAAUUGUAAAUUUAUUGAUGGAUAAUUAAUUUGUGAUUUGUGAGAUUUAGUUGGCAAAUGUAUCAACAAUUCAAAAUAGAUACUACAUUAUUAAUGAGAUUGUAAUUUAUGAAACCGUUAAGCGUAGUAACUUAAACCAUUAUUGAUAGUAA